rnacentral:rRNA from 1 species
AUAUUGGACAAUGGGGGAAACCCUGAUCCAGCCAUGCCGCGUGUGUGAAGAAGGUCUUCGGAUUGUAAAGCACUGUAAGAGGGGAGGAAGGGCUGUGGGCUACUAUCCAGCAAUUUUGACGUUACCGACAGAAUAAGCACCGGGAAACCCUGAGCCAGCAGCCGCGGUAAUACAGAGGGUGCAAGCGUUAAUCGGAAUUACUGGGCGUAAAGCGCGCGUAGGUGGUUCAGUAAGAUGGGUGUGAAAUCCCCGGGCUUAACCUGGGAACUGCUUUCAUAACUGCUGGGCUAGAGUACGGUAGAGGGUAGUGGAAUUUCCUGUGUAGCGGUGAAAUGCGUAGAUAUAGGAAGGAACACCAGUGGCGAAGGCGACUACCUGGACUGAUACUGACACUGAGGUGCGAAAGCGUGGGGAGCAAAC